rnacentral:rRNA from 1 species
AGUGAAGCGGCAACAGCUCAAAUUUGAAAUCUGGCCCCGUCGGGGUCCGAGUUGUAAUUUGUAGAGAGUGUUUCGGGUGAGGCCACGGUCUAAGUCCAUUGGAACAUGGCGUCACAGAGGGUGAGAAUCCCGUAUGUGACUGUGGUCCGAGCCCAUGUGAAGCCUCUUCGACGAGUCGAGUUGUUUGGGAAUGCAGCUCAAAAUGGGUGGUAAAUUUCAUCUAAAGCUAAAUACUGGCUGGAGACCGAUAGCGCACAAGUAGAGUGAUCGAAAGAUGAAAAGCACUUUGGAAAGAGAGUCAAAAAGUACGUGAAAUUGUUGAAAGGGAAGCGCUUGCAACCAGACCUGUCCGUAGGCGAUCAGCCGCUGUUCUCAGCGGUGCACUCGCUCUGCGAUCAGGCCAGCAUCGGUUUCGGCGGUCGGAUAAAGGCCCUGGGAAUGUAGCUUCUUUCGGGGAGUGUUAUAGCCCUCGGUGCAAUGCGGCCAGCCGAGACCGAGGACCACGCGUAUGCUAGGAUGCUGGCGUAAUGGUUGUCAGCGACCCGUCUUGAAACACGGACCAAGGAGUCUAACAUCUAUGCGAGUGUUUGGGUGUCAAACCCAUACGCGGAAUGAAAGUGAACGGAGGUGAGAACCCAUUAGGGCGCAUCAUCGACCGAUCCAGAUGUCUUCGGAUGGAUUUGAGUAUGAGCAUAGCUGAUG